GUCACUAAAGAAAUAUAUCAAGGUUCAAAACAAGGUUACAGUUCAAAACAAGGUUACAGUACAUUAAUUGUAAGUAUUAUUAAAAACAGUCACUUUUUCACGAGAAAAUGUUUUGAGCAUGAGGAUUAUAUUUAGUAAUGUGGUUAGCUAAUGAUAUGCUAACUCUUGGCCUUUGAAGCAAUGCUAACAUUAGGUAACCACUAUAGUACUAUAGUAAGGGAGUUAGCCAGGCAUGCUAAUGUAAGUGGCUAACACACUGUUAAAUCCAUUCCUUAUAGCUAUUUAUUUUAUUUUUUACUUUUUUGUGGAAACAAAAAUAAAAAAGACACAAGCUUCUGAACUCUUGGGAUACUGAAUCUCACUCUUUCUACAGCCCCAAGCACACUUCGUCAUUUGUGGAAAAUCACAAGCUAGACAGUUAGUUACAGUUUCUAAAUUCAGUCCCGGUGCCAGCUUUAAUUUAACACUUUAAUUUAAUGUUUUGAUCGUUAACAAUUUCGGUUUAACUUGUGACCAUGUUAACUGGUGACUUUCAGCUAAAUGCAUCAUGGUUGCUUGUAGUGACGGCAGCUGGCUCUUAAAAGCCUUGUUAAUUUUACUUUCAGUGCAUACUCUGUGAUCAGCAAGAAGCAUUCACCUCGUAACGUUUCUUAUACUGUAGGAAACAAACCAUAGCCUAUAAGUUGGCAGUGCAGCCAUAGUAUAUCUUGUGCUUUUAUACCAUUAUCCUCAAUCUGAAAGUGGCCCAUAUUCAACCAAUUAACCUGCUUUGUCAUUGAAUAGAAAAAGUAAAAGUAGAGUUUGUAGCUAAAUAGUGUGUAAACUGUGUGGUCACACGGCCAGUAUUCACAGCACAAACUGACAGCACAAAUGGAUGAAAAAAUGUACAAACGAGAAAGGAGUUGUUUAUUUCCUCCCUGUGAAUUUUUUUUUCCCUGAGCCUCAUUUUCUGAGCCUUUUUUUCCUGAGCCUCCUAAGAUAUUAAAACGACAAAUAUGUCUGAUUGGUAAGAGCCGUGACACUGUUUACAUAAAAGUUGGUAAACUCUUCAAGUAAAGGCAUGAAUUGCCCGUCCACUUCAAGGUGUAAUUAUUAGUCUUUACAGCUUGAGCACCUGGUGUGGAAGUUAGUAUGCACACAGACUAUUUCGGGGGGGCUACCCAUAAUGCUGGGACUGACUAAACUAUGAUUGAACACUUGCUGUUAGAGGGAUGACUUUAAGGAACAGUUAAUUGUGGGAAAAUAGCCUAAUAUAUUUCUUGAGCAAACACUAGGCCACAGAAGAUAUUGCAUUAUAAUUAUUAGUAUGAAAAACAAUGCUAACAUGCCCCAAUUUUUAUCUGCACUUUAAGAUUGUAACUCUUUUCUGUGAGCACUAUGCUUCCUUACAGGGAUGCUUGUACUUACUGUUGGAAGAGAAGGGCUGUUUUGAAGAGGACCAGACAGAAUUAGAAUAAGUGACUCACAAUGGGACGUUAGGCAUGCUUCUGCCGGUGUCAUUGGAAGACUAAUGAGAUGGCACCAGGCCCAUGAAUGGCUCAUUGGCCUGAUGCACAGGCUGUCUGUAAGUGUUUCUUCAUCCCGUUAUGGCCGGCCAUGCAGCAGAUCUUCUACCUGUAGCAGAGAUUGUGAUGAAUAACAAAAAUGCACAGCAUGAUAGCCCACAGUAUACCAUCAUUACAACCAAAUGUUAAGGCCUGGAAGGCGUUCUUCCUACACCCACCUAGUGUAUUCAACUGUGACCAUUUGCUAUUCCAGAUGCAGUGAUUAAAUUUAUUCACACCUUGGUCACAGGGAAAGGAUGGUAUCAUGUCAAACUCGCUGUUAUGGAUUAAAAGAAAACAAUGAAUUAACAAAGGAGGCUACUAAUUGAUGUUUUAUAUGUUCUCUAGAUGUAACCACAAUAAAUAUUUUAAUUAAUUAAUAUCAGUGAAAAAAUGUGCAGGUCCAUACUCAUACAACUUUGACUUCUUGCCAUUUUUAAAUGCCUAUGUUUAAACUAUGAUGAUUUGUAUGUUGUGCGUGUAUGAUUAAAUGUAUCUCGCCUAACUUA